CAAAGGUCAGAUGGAACAGAGACAUGAAAAUGUUACACUUUUGGACCCCUGAUUUCUAGAAUUACCCAUGUACAACUGAAAAUUGCCAGAUGCAAUAUGAUUGAUAUACAUAGCAAAUAUUUUAAAGGCCAUGUACAGUCACACCCAGACAGGACAUAAUUGACCAACUACUGUAGAGCUGCAUCAAAGCUUGUGAAAUAUUGUCUAAUUACAUGUUAUACAUGUAUCCAUACAAAAAUGGAGGCAGGAUGAGCAAAAUCUAGGACAAAUGGAACUCAAUGUACAAAAUUUCAUAGGACUACCUAAGGGUGUAGCUAACUUGCAAACUGCAAUGGAUCAUUUCAAUCCCCCCCCCAACAAAAACUAUUUUAUGGUCCUUUUUUAUUUCUUUCUCCACAACAGUGCUGGAGGAUUGCACAAUGUCAUUAACCAAUUAAUGUUGUUUACAGUGGCUGCAUUCUGUGCAUAUUACUGAACCCAUACAUACAUGAAGGUAGCAGGGUACCAGUGACAGGUAAAAAGGAACAACUCAAAGAAAAAAAAAGGAAAAAAACUGUCACAUUUUACUUGUAUUUUUUCCUUUUAGUAAACAGUUCGCUCAUAUUUUCUUCCCCGUGCUGUGAAUAAGUCUCUUGAAAAAUCCAAUCUCUGUGUGUCUAUGUUUCCCCGAUUCUCAUUGGUCAAUAGUUCAGUCCGGAUUUCUGUGUGUGUUUUUCGCAGUCCAGUGAACACAACCAUAUUAGGAAAGACAAGUGGUAGUGGCUGUGUGUGUGUGUGCAAAUGGUACAUGUAUGCAUCUUUUGUCGAGUGCGCCAUGGUUAGUCUGGUCAGUCAAGUGUGAACAUUCUUGCCAGUUUUUCUUGGGGUGCGGUCCAGUCAGUUGAGGAUCUGAAUCCACUUGAUAGCAGGAGCUUGAUUUGCCUACAGCAGUUUUUUAUUAGCUGUGACAAGGUCCAUGUUUCCUUGUUUAAGAUUGCUGAUACUAAGCAGCAUUUCCAGACAAACAAUCUCUGCUGCCUUUCUUAAAACGGGUAGAAAAUCUCCUAACCAUGGCACUUAAGAUUUGGGGAUUGGAGAAUCUAAGCCCAUAGAAGAAAGCUUUCACCAGUUGAUGCUGGGGCACUGUAGACUGCACUAACCUGGAGGAGACAGUCUAUAGGAAAGGGACAUGAAAGGGACCACUUUGAGCCAACAGGGCCGUGGCUCUUCCUAGUUGGAUUUGGCUUCUCCGUGUAAGAACUGAACUGUUUUAGGUUGUGACAGGGACAUUUCAGCAGAGUUCCCAAUGGAAGGGCUGAUAGAAGUGAGACUGAAAGCGGCAAAAAUUUUGUGAAAGUAAAAACCUUGUAAAUGGACCUGGAGAAUUGAUACAGUUGGAAUAUAAAUCCCGGUGAAACCUCAGUGAAACUGAACCGUGUUUAUAGGGAAACUUAAAUGAAUUCUGAAGUUAGAGGUAGAGGCAGACAGAAGUAGAUUGAUGGAUCCAGAGAGGAUAUGGCAAUUGAAUAAAUUAAAGUAUUGAAUGAGGUUUGAGAGUUCAGUGGAUCCAGAAUUAAGAGCAUUUAUAAACUGAUGGAAGUUGUAAUUUGUGGUAAUGUUGUGCAGUGAAUUGAAGGAAAAUGUGGUGUCUGGAUCCAAUGCGUUCAUAGUCGAGAUUUUCAUUUAUGAGUUGAUGGACUUGUGAUGUCAUAAUCAUAUAAGAGGUUAAAUUACUGCGAAAUUUAUUUCAAUCUGGUACUGGUGAAAUUUGAAUUUUGAUGGUAAAUUUUAACUUACUUCGUGGGUGGUGAAAUUUGAAAAGUUGUCUUUUUAUAGAGGGGGUAGAGUCCUCUUUAGAAAGUUAAACAUCUUGGACUGAAAACAUACUGACAUUAAUAUCAUUAAAGGAAACUGCACAUAAUUAUCUGGGGGUUUAUUUGUUCAUCUUUGGAACAUACUCGAUCGCUUUAUUUGAAGUAAGGAAAUUAAAGUUGUUGGCGUACUGUAAAAAGAAA